rnacentral:lncRNA from 1 species
AUUAUCGUAGGCUUAGGUUCAUAAUCACCCUUUCUUUAAUUAAUUAACGCUUUAACUAAUAAAACUUGAAUGCAACAUUUUCAUUUGGUUUUUGUAUCCAUAGAAUUGAUUUAAAUGAAGCUAAAUGAAAUGAAAAUCUAAUUCUCAUUUAAAGAUACAAACUAUUUUGUUCUCAACUAAUUUGGGCCGAAAAACAAUAACCUCAACCAUUGGGCUAUACUGCAAACCACAAACUUUUGAGGUCACUUUGUAAAAACAAAAAAGUCCACUACUUCAUGUAACUACAACUAGAACCCAAAAUUUUCAUCAAAAUACAAAAACUUCAUUAAAGGAGCAAAAAAUUUUGUCCUUUGGUGAUUUUGGGCCUUUACGUAAAAAUGUAAACUUUCGGGUCAAAGUACAAAUACAUAAAAGUAUCAAAACUUUAUGUAAUUGCAUAAAAACCCCAAGACUGUUGGAAAUGUGCCCUAAAACCAAUCAU